CGGAGGAAAAGAAACCAACAGGGAUUGCCCUAGUAACGGCGAGUGAAGCGGCAACAGCUCAAAUUUGAAAUCUGGCCCUUGUGGUCCGAGUUGUAAUUUGUAGAGGAUGCUUUUGGUGCGGUACCUUCCGAGUUCCCUGGAACGGGACGCCAUAGAGGGUGAGAGCCCCGUCUGGUUGGAUACCAAUCCUCUGUAAAGCUCCUUCGACGAGUCGAGUAGUUUGGGAAUGCUGCUCAAAAUGGGAGGUAUAUGUCUUCUAAAGCUAAAUAUAGGCCAGAGACCGAUAGCGCACAAGUAGAGUGAUCGAAAGAUGAAAAGCACUUUGAAAAGAGGGUUAAAUAGUACGUGAAAUUGUUGAAAGGGAAGCGUUUGUGACCAGACUUGGGCUUGGUUAAUCAUCCAGCGUUCUCGCUGGUGCACUUUGCCAGCCCAGGCCAGCAUCAGUUUGCUGCGGGGGAUAAAAGUUUCGGGAAUGUGGCUCCUCGGAGUGUUAUAGCCCGUUGCACAAUACCCUGUGGUGGACUGAGGUUCGCGCAUCUGCAAGGAUGCUGGCGUAAUGGUCAUCAACGACCCGUCUUGAAACACGGACCAAGGAGUCGUCUUCGUAUGCGAGUGUUCGGGUGUCAAACCCCUACGCGUAAUGAAAGUGAACGGAGGUGGGAGCCUCGGCGCACCAUCGACCGAUCCUGAUGUUUUCGGAUGGAUUUGAGUAAGAGCAUACGGGGCCGGACCCGAAAGAAGGUGAACUAUGCCUGUAUAGGGUGAAGCCAGAGGAAACUCUGGUGGAGGCUCGCAGCGGUUCUGACGUGCAAAUCGAUCGUCAAAUAUGGGCAUGGGGGCGAAAGACUAAUCGAACCUUCUAGUAGCUGG
rnacentral:rRNA from 1 species